GACGAACGCUGGCGGCGUGCUUAACACAUGCAAGUCGAACGGAAAGGCCCUGCUUUUGUGGGGUGCUCGAGUGGCGAACGGGUGAGUAACACGUGAGUAACCUGCCCUUGACUUUGGGAUAACUUCAGGAAACUGGGGCUAAUACCGGAUAGGAGCUCCUGCUGCAUGGUGGGGGUUGGAAAGUUUCGGCGGUUGGGGAUGGACUCGCGGCUUAUCAGCUUGUUGGUGGGGUAGUGGCUUACCAAGGCUUUGACGGGUAGCCGGCCUGAGAGGGUGACCGGCCACAUUGGGACUGAGAUACGGCCCAGACUCCUACGGGAGGCAGCAGGGGGGAAUAUUGCACAAUGGGGGGGAGCCUGAUGCAGCAACGCCGCGUGCGGGAUGACGGCCUUCGGGUUGUAAACCGCUUUCGCCUGUGACGAAGCGUGAGUGACGGGAAUGGGUAAAGAAGCACCGGCUAACUAAGUG
rnacentral:rRNA from 1 species